GAUGAAGAACGUAGCGAAAUGCGAUAAGUAGUGUGAAUUGCAGAAUUCAGUGAAUCAUCGAAUCUUUGAACGCACAUUGCGCCCCUUGGUAUUCCAUGGGGCAUGCCUGUUCGAGCGUCAUUUGUACCUUCAAGCUCUGCUUGGUAUUGGGUGUUUGUCUCGCCUCUGCGUGUAGACUCGCCUUAAAACAAUUGGCAGCCGGCGUAUUGAUUUCGGAGCGCAGUACAUCUCGCGCUUUGCACUCAUAACGACGACGUCCAAAAGUACAUUUUUACACUCUUGACCUCGGAUCAGGUAGGGAUAUCCGCUGAACUUAAGCAUAUCAAUAAGCGGAGGA
rnacentral:misc_RNA from 1 species